rnacentral:sRNA from 1 species
UGCCCUGCGCAUGGCGUCGGCGAACGAGC